rnacentral:rRNA from 1 species
UGAGGAAUAUUGGUCAAUGGACGCAAGUCUGAACCAGCCAUGCCGCGUGAAGGAUGAAGGCGUUCUGCGUUGUAAACUUCUUUUAUCUGGGAAGAAACCUACGAUUUCCAUCGUAGCCGACGGUACCAGAGGAAUAAGCACCGGCUAACUCCGUGCCAGCAGCCGCGGUAAUACGGAGGGUGCAAGCGUUAUCCGGAUUCACUGGGUUUAAAGGGUGUGUAGGCGGGCUAUUAAGUCAGUGGUGAAAUCUCCGGGCUCAACCCGGAAACUGCCAUUGAUACUAUUAGUCUUGAAUAUUGUUGAGGUAGGCGGAAUAUGUCAUGUAGCGGUGAAAUGCUUAGAUAUGACAUAGAACACCGAUUGCGAAGGCAGCUUGCUAAACAAUUAUUGACGCUGAGGCACGAAAGCGUGGGGAUCAAACAGG